AUUGAACGCUGGCGGCAGGCCUAACACAUGCAAGUCGAGCGAGCGGCGGACGGGUGAGUAAUGUAUGGGUAUCUGCCCGAUUGAGGGGGUUAACUACUGGACACGGUGGCUAAUACCGCCUACCAUCGGAUGAACCCAUAUGGGAUUAGCUAGUAGGGGGGGUAAUGGCUCACCCAGGCGACGAUCCCUAGCUGGUCUGAGAGGAUGAUCAGCCACACUGGAACUGAGACACGGCCCAGACUCCUACGGGAGGCAGCAGUGGAGAAGAUUGCACAAUGGGCGCAAGCCUGAUGCAGCCAUGCCGCGUGUAUGAAGAAGGCCUUAGGGUUGUAAAGGACUUUCAGCGGGGAGGCGUUACCCGCAGAAGAAGCACCGGCUAACUCCGUGCCAGCAGCCGCGGUAAUUC
rnacentral:rRNA from 1 species